AGUCGUGUCGUUCAACUGGAAAGGACAUCAGUCUACGAAACUGAAAAUCGGGGUUCAAAUCCCUGCAUGGCUA
rnacentral:tRNA from 2 species